rnacentral:lncRNA from 1 species
UGGCACAGUAACCGCGAGAGCAACAGCUCUUUUCUCACUCUACCCCAGUUGUCAAGACGUAGGGAGUCUUCUGACCUGUUUCACUGAGAUCUGCUUUCUUAUCUUCCUUAACAGCUUGAGUCUUGUUUGUCUCAUGAGAUUCUAUCUUUUUAUUAUCAUCUUCGAUCAUCAGAUUUAUGAUCUUUUACACGAUCUAAAUAUUGUAUUAUAUUCAAAGUGGAGAGAUU